rnacentral:rRNA from 1 species
CCUACGGGAGGCUGCAGUGGGGGAUAUUGCACAAUGGGGGAAACCCUGAUGCAGCGACGCCGCGUGUGGGAAGACGGUCCUCUGGCUUGUAAACCACUGUCCCCAGGGACGAAGAUGACGGUACCUGGGGAGGAAGCUCCGGCUAACUACGUGCCAGCAGCCGCGGUAAUACGUAGGGCGCAAGCGUUGUCCGGAAUUACUGGGUGUAAAGGGAGCGUAGGCGGGAUGGCAAGUUGGGUGUUAAAUCUACCGGCUCAACUGGUAGUCGCACUUAAAACUGCUAUUCUUGAGUGAAGUAGAGGCAGGCGGAAUUCGUGGUGUAGCGGUGAAAUGCGUAGAUAUUAGGAGGAACACCAGUUGCGAAGGCGGCCUGCUGGGCUUUUACUGACGCUGAGGCUCGAAAGUGUGGGGAGCAAACAGGAUUAGAUACCCGAGUAGUC